rnacentral:misc_RNA from 1 species
AAACUGCGAUACGUAGUGUGAAUUGCAGAAUUCAGUGAAUCAUCGAAUCUUUGAACGCAAAUUGCGCUGCUGGGUAUUCCCGGCAGCAUGCUUGGCUGAGUAUCAUCUGGACAAAUCGGCAAGUCGCCUUUUGUAGGAGACUUUUUGCCGGAAAUGAGGUUGUCGCACAUUUUGAUAAAAAGUGUGGGUCCCUUCAAGUCUAGUAAGGUUAGCAUGUGUGCUAAUAUUAGCGUAUCAUGUUUAGCCGCCAGUGUGUCAAACUGUUUGCUUCUCUAAAGGGGUUGCACAACAUUAGCACUGAUUUUGCGGCAAAAACUAAUUAUAACGUAUUUUAUCAAAAACUUUGAUCUCAGCUCAAGCAAGACUACCCGCUGAAUUUAA